GACGAACGCUGGCGGCGUGCUUAACACAUGCAAGUCGAACGGAAAGGCCCUGCUCUUGUGGGGUGCUCGAGUGGCGAACGGGUGAGUAACACGUGAGUAACCUGCCCUUGACUUUGGGAUAACUUCAGGAAACUGGGGCUAAUACCGGAUAGGAGCUCCUGCUGCAUGGUGGGGGUUGGAAAGUUUCGGCGGUUGGGGAUGGACUCGCGGCUUAUCAGCUUGUUGGUGGGGUAGUGGCUUACCAAGGCUUUGACGGGUAGCCGGCCUGAGAGGGUGACCGGCCACAUUGGGACUGAGAUACGGCGCAGACUCCUACGGGAGGCAGCAGUGGGGAAUAUUGCACAAUGGGCGGAAGCCUGAUGCAGCAACGCCGCGUGCGGGAUGACGGCCUUCGGGUUGUAAACCGCUUUCGCCUGUGACGAAGCGUGAGUGACGGUAAUGGGUAAAGAAGCACCGGCUAACUACGUG
rnacentral:rRNA from 1 species